AUCCAGCUGAUGAGUGCCAAACAGAACGAAACACGCGUCCUGGAU
rnacentral:hammerhead_ribozyme from 1 species